AUUCCAGGCACGAAUGUUUAUUUUUGUUGGAAACAUAACUGUCUGUGGCUAGAAAUUGGAAGAACAUUUUACCCGCCAGACUGCCAGUAAACUUACAAGCAGCUGUUACCACCCUCUUGUGGUGACCUAAUGAAUUUGCUCCUCUCAACAUGGAAUGACUGAUUCAACUUGGUGGAGAGAGACGUUUCUCUUCCAACAAGGGAUUUUAUAGUCUGCAAAAAAGCUGCGGAGUCACAAGGCAUGACUCCCAUAGAGAAGACAAUGGAGUCAAAGAUCCGAAGAGGAGAUGAGGCCAGAAGGCUCCCAGUGUGGUUGGAUGAUCCAUAAAGAAAAUGCCAGAGCUCUAUAAGUUUCUCAUGGAGCGAUGGGCUCUAUACCAUAACUUAGAGUAUGACUCAUCAGAGGAGAAGAAUCCCC